AUAUAUAUAUAUUCAAGAUGAAUACAGAGUUCAUGAUCGGUAGUAGUUCAUAGUAUCUUCUCCUCACAGAAGAAUUUAGUCUAGUAACUUAGCACAUACUGUAGAUUGUAGAAUCUUUGCACUUACAAUAGCCUAUAGAGCUCAAGUCUUUGGUCCUUUUCCUCCCUUCAAAUUUUCUUUGCUUGUAAGUUAUUACCAUAAUCUAUUAUCCUUCUAUUCUGGUCUUGUAGAUGGUCCACUGUUUACUAGUUUGUAGUUACUACUUUGGUUAAUGAUCCUCCUUCUCUCUUAAGCUAUCUCUUGUCUCUCUCUGUAAAGUUUUCGUUUCUGAGUUGCCUUCUGAAAGGGCAUAGUUUGUCCCUUCACCAUCUUUUCGGGUUUUUUACAAAGAAAAGUUGGAAGGGGUUUGGUUAUAAUCUUUUGCUUCUAAGUUCUGACUGCUUUAGUUUUUUAGGGUUAAUCUGUGUCACACAACCUGUUAUCAAGCCCCCAAUGUUUUCCAUUUUAGCCUUUGGUUAAUGCUUCUUUCCAUAGUCUUCACCUGGCUUGUCCUUGAAGGAGAGUGUUGACCAUACUAUGCCAGAAUUGAUGGAGGCGAAACUGUACCGAGGCUGUUUUGUUCAAAAGAUAUGGUCAUGAUCUUCUUGGAUGCUAGUUAGAGUGCAAUUCCGUUUUACUUCAUGAAGUCUCUCUUAGUGGUUCCUGACUUGUGUUUCUUUCUUUUUGAGUUUCUGUAACUGGUGGAACUUGUAUGGUCUGCUGAAAUAAAUCAUCGAUAUGUUUUAUCUGAAGUAUGAGUUGGUGGAA